UCCAGGUCAGUGUGACAGUGACAUGGGUGACGGACACUCCUCAACCGGUACCAGGCUGGGUGGUGGCCCUGGCUGUACUCGCAGGACUGCUACUGCUGGCUUUGCUCAUCUUCAUUAUGUACAAGUUGGGUUUCUUUAAGCGAGUACGCCCCCCACAGGAGGACUGCACUGAGAAGGAGCAGCUGCAGCCGGAGGAGAACGGCAACACUGACGCUUAGAGGCCUGGAUGUAAGAUAGAGAAAGUUGAGGAGAGAAGAUAUCAGGGUAAACCAGCCUCAGAGAGAAUCACUGUAAUGACUGUUUGGGGGGGGGGUAGAUAACGGUACUUGUUUGGCUUUUAUUGUGUUUUUCUGUUUUGUUUUGUUUUGUUUUAAUCAUGUUGCAUUUGUGCCAAAAGACAAGCUGGAAAACACUGGUCACGGAUGAAAUCCUCAACGCUCAAAUUAGCAGUUUUAGAGUCGGUCGGUAUGGGAUCAUUUCGUCUCUGCAUCGAUGUGUGCACAUCAUGUCCACAACACUGAAGCACUUAAUUAUUUAGCAUCAAAAAUGGUCAUGGUUUAGUUCCCGCUCCAUCUCAGUGAUCCUUAAACAUUUGAACUAACAAGGUUGAAAGAGUGCCAACAUGCAGAGGAAGCAGCAGGGAGGUGUUGUCCAGAGGCGUGAUGCUUUUCAGAGCAGCGCACGACGGGUUUGGCCUUUCGACAGGUUUGCACAUUUCUUCUUCUUUUAUUUUUAUUUGAUCGUAACAUGAAACGGUUAAUGAGCUGUUUGAGCUUGUGGACCCAAAAGUCCAGCACUGCUGAUACAUUUUAAAAAAAAUGCGUGAUCUUUCUGGGUUAGGAUAACCGAUCUGAGUUUAGUAUUUUUAUUGCUAAGCCAAGAAUCAGUGGUUGGAUGAAAAAAGGGGGGAAACAAAAGAGACUAAAAGUAGAACUGGUGUAAAUAAUUGUGGGUACAGGAGAACCAGCAGUAACUUUACUGUAGUGCUGGGGUCAUUUGAUCAAUUAGGACCAACAACGGCAAUAAAAACAGCAAUAUGAAUUAAUAAAACAGAGGUGUCUCAUUUUAGAUGGUUGAAUAUUUUUGGACACAGAGGAUCAGAGUAUUGCAGUAAUAUAUUUCCUCUGUGUUUCCUUUCUUGCUUUGUGUGUGUCUGUGUGUGUGUCUGUGUGUGAGGGGUUACAGACUGUUUAAGUUCUGCUUUGGGGUUUCGGUGAAGAGUUUUCAGGGUUUUCUAGUGUGUCUGAAUGCAUUUUGUACAAGACAGUAAGGGUGAUUACAACAGUGGGUCCAGCUCUUUUCAGCACAACCAAGACGUUGUUUCUAUUGCAGUUAAUAAAAGCGUUUUCUUUGACCUGUAAAACUGACCUGUGGUUAAACCCUGGACCUGAGGAGCCUAGUCUUAGUUUGGGAGACACUCUGACCCCUGCAGGCAACUACAUGUAGUUACACAAGAAGUGUGUUGUGUUUCCAGUCAAACCUGUCAGGGAUGUGACGUUAAUGUGAUGCUAUAAGAAAGUUGCCAUGCUGAUAUGGCAAAAAGAGUUCACUUAGAAGUUAUUUUUUCAAUCAGGUUCCUUUAAAUACAUCCAAAUGUGCAGAUGGGAACAGAUUGACAGUGUUUCUGCUGCUAGGGAUGAUGAUGUAGUUUAGUUUAACUUCAUUGUAAUAAAUAAAUAUGUAAGACCUUUAAAAUCCCUUUAUAAUCCUGGCACCUAAAGGUGAUGCAGAGUUUUGCAGAGUUUGUUUGGAUAAAGAUAAAAUUGAUUGUUCUAUUUAAAAAAAAAAUUGUAAUGAGUGUAAAUGUAUUGCAUGAAGUCAGAGCUUCUAAAAAAAAACACCUUUAAAUAAUCAUACUGGUGUUCAAUUUAUUUAUGCCAUUGUCGAGCCUCUCAUGGAACCUACAGUGGGGAAACACCUAAAUCAAUAAUCUGAACCCUGUUAUCACGGUUUGGGCUUUGCAAAUAUCAUUGAUUAGUUUGUUUUAGAUACUCCUCUAUGGUUUUUAUAGCUGCUAGUAAAUGUGUUUAGCUCAGAUACAGCUGUUGCUAGCAGAGCAGCCACAGCAGCACACCUAAGGGUCAGGGUUUAAUCACUGGUCUGUUACUUUCCUGCCGAUUUCCUGCACUGAGGCCUUUAUUUUCGUCCUUUUUUUUUCCUCCUAGUUUUUCUUCAGAUUUCAAACCAGUGACUGGCAGCUUUGCUAAAAACAAAAACAACAAAACCAGCUGCUUGCUGUCUUAUGUUUAAUGAGUCCGAUUUUACUCAUGUGUGUAAUAUAUUUAAAAGAAAAGAAACAAAAAAAAUGCUA